UAAAGGCAUGGUCCUGACCUUAUUAUUAGCUUUAACCCAACUUACACAUGCAAGUCUCCGCAACCCCGUGAGUAUGCCCUUAAUCCCCCACCCGGGGACGAGGAGCGGGCAUCAGGCACAAAUUUUUAGCCCAAGACGCCUGGCCGAGCCACACCCCCAAGGGAAUUCAGCAGUGAUAAAUAUUAAGCCAUAA
rnacentral:rRNA from 1 species